rnacentral:rRNA from 1 species
CGUGUAGGCGGUUGGAAAAGUCAGAUGUGAAAUUCUUCGGCUCAACCGAGGAACUGCGUCUGAAACUUUCCGACUGGAGUUCGGGAGGGGCAACUGGAAUUCCUGGUGUAACGGUGAAAUGUGUAGAUAUCAGGAGGAACACCCGUGGCGAAGGCGGGUUGCUGGACCGAAACUGACGCUGAGACGCGAAAGCGUGGGUAGCAAACA